UACGGGAGGGGGCAGUGGGGAAUGGUGUACAAUGGGAACGGGGGAAACGCAGGGACGCCGCGCGAGGGAUGAGGGCAUUCGGUUUGUGAACUUAAAUCCGUAUGGAAGAAGGGAAAAUGACGGUACCUGCAGAAGAAGAGCCGGCUAAAUACGUGCCAGCAGCCGCGGUAAUAAGUAGGGGGCGAGCGUUUUCUGGAAUUAUUGGGGGUAAAAAGGUGGUAGGCGGUUUGUCGCAUCUGCUGUGAAAAACCGGGGGUCAACUCCGGGUGUGCAGUGGGUACGGGCAGACUUGAGGGCAGUAGGGGAGAAGGGAAUUCCUGGUGUAGCGGUGAAAUGCGCAGAUAUCUGGAGGAACACCCCUGGGGAAAGCAGGUCUUUGGGCAGUAAAUGACGCUGAGGAGCGAAAACGUGGGGAGGGAACACGAUUAGAUACCCCGGUAGUCCAUGCCGUAAACAGUGGGCACUAGGGGUGGGGGGCAUUCCACGCUUUCGUGCCGUAGCUAACGCA
rnacentral:rRNA from 1 species